rnacentral:rRNA from 1 species
CAGCAGCAGCCGCGGUAAUACAGAGGGUGCGAGCGUUAAUCGGAUUUACUGGGCGUAAAGCGUGCGUAGGCGGCUUUUUAAGUCGGAUGCGAAAUCCCUGAGCUUAACUUAGGAAUUGCAUUCGAUACUGGGAAGCUAGAGUAUGGGAGAGGAUGGUAGAAUUCCAGGUGUAGCGGUGAAAUGCGUAGAGAUCUGGAGGAAUACCGAUGGCGAAGGCAGCCAUCUGGCCUAAUACUGACGCUGAGGUACGAAAGCAUGGGGAGCAAACAGGAUUAGAUACCCCAGUAGUCCCUGUCUCUUAUAU